rnacentral:rRNA from 1 species
UACGUAGGAGACGAGCGUUGUCCGGAGUUACUGGGCGUAAAGGGUGCGCAGGCGGCCCUGCGCGUCGCGAGUGAAAUCUCCCGGCUCAACUGGGAGGGUGGUCGCGAGACGGCAGGGCUUGAGGCUCGGUGAGGGGCGUGGAAUUCCGGGUGGAGCGGUGAAAUGCGUAGAGAUCGGAAAGAACACCAACGGCGAAAAGCACUCUGCUGGGCCGACACUGACACUGAGAGACGAAAGCUAGGGGAGCGAAUGGG